rnacentral:lncRNA from 1 species
CAAGUAAAUAAAGAAGAGUGUAUUUUAUUUCUUUCUUUUUUUCAAUUUUUUCAAAUUGAUUUUCCAAAGUUUUUAAAUAAAUAAACAAACAAACAUCUUAGUUGCACUUAAUCCAAUCUUAGUAACAUUAUUAAGUGACUUCCUCAAAUCCCCCGGCUGAAUUUCAGUGUAUAUCAUUGUAACAGUUUUCCAAAACAAAUUUCUCGUAAAAUUAACUUAAUCACUUAACAUCAUUCUUUCUUCUCAUUUGAAGAGUGUAUUUUAUUUCAGACACAAACAACGGCAUUCCAAACGUUGUUACUCUUUACUUUCUUAGUCUUAUUUUCCUCUCUAUCUCUUCUACCUCCCCUCACUCAAGAACCCACUGCCCUGUCUCUCUAUUUCCAACUGCCUGCCAACUGCUUUUCCAACUGCCUUUCCCAGCCAGCCAUCCCACUAAAACCAACCAACUACCCACCAACAACUCUAACAAACCUCGGGCGAAGCCCUUUUAUACACAUGUAGGCUCCGCCUCCAGCUUUCCUAUUGGUCUACAUUUUUAACCCUUUCUUUCCCCCCGUACAGACAGGCUCUAAACGAACGGGCAAACGCCACAGGUAUCUCUUAAAUACCCAGUCAAUCACUGCCCUCUUCAGGAGAGAGGCUCCUGCAGAUGCCAUCUCUUCAAGGGGUCUGUUCUAUACAAUAUAGGAAUCAAGUGUUUAGUGUGUAGUGACACACAUCCUUUCAAAUUAGAUACAAGCCACCUCUAUUGUAUGCUUUAAUUCUAGAAUGAUUGUCAAGCUGCAAGCGACCUUGAGGUCUAACUGCCUGCAAAGCAGGAAUCAUUGGGCACCUGAAGACCUUCCUUUUUCAACAAGAGAACUUUAUCCCAGUCUGCAUAAGCGCCAGAAUAGUUUUAAGAGGCUUUUGGAUGUUUCAAUUGGAUCACUUUAUGUGUUUUCUGCCUUGGUUCCCCCCCUCUUUUUCCUUUUUAGGAGGAAGAGCAAGAUAUAAAUGCAAUUAACAAAUAAAUAAUUUCAAUUUACGCGGGGCUGAUUCUGGGUCUGGUUCAGAGGCUGCAGUUAGCGCAGGAGGCCACGGCAAGCCUGCUUGUGGGGGGAGCUUGCCGUCAGCAGAAAACACCAGUGUAGAAAGCUCUGCACUGGCUGGCAG